rnacentral:misc_RNA from 1 species
GGUUUAACUACCCAAGUUUGAG